CAGUGGCUGAGCCUGCUGCCACGGCCUCUUCUUCAAAUCCACCUUCACCACCACUCGUGGACUUGCUGGAGCCAUCAAACCGAACCAAUAAAUUCCUUAUCCACAACUAAAGGACAGUAAAAGAUCCCAUCUUUCACCAUCUCGUAGACUUUUCUAUAUCUAGACAAAUGACUUUCAUUCAUCUUAGUAUCUUACAAAGUGGAUAAUGCCGUAAGACACGGUCUCUAUGUUUGGAGAGAGGAGGAGCUCACGAAGGAGGAAUUUUACAUUCGACUUAUUAAUUGCGCAGUUUUGCAAUUCAAUGAAAGCUAUUUUCAGACAGAAUCUGAUGCAUCACCCUAAAGAGUGCAUAUAAAG